CCUACGGGAGGCAACAGUGGGGGAUAUUGCACAAUGGGGGGAACCCUGAUGCAGCGACGCCGCGUGGGUGAAGGAGCGUUUCGGUACGUAAAGCUCUAUCAGCAGGGAAGAAAAUGACGGUACCUGACUAAGAAGCCCCGGCUAACUACGUGCCAGCAGCCGCGGUAAUACGUAGGGGGCAAGCGUUAUCCGGAUUUACUGGGUGUAAAGGGAGCGUAGACGGCAGCGCAAGUCUGGAGUGAAAUCCCAUGGCUUAACCACGGAACUGCUUUGGAAACUGUGCAGCUAGAGUGCAGGAGAGGUAAGCGGAAUUCCUAGUGUAGCGGUGAAAUGCGUAGAUAUUAGGAGGAACACCAGUGGCGAAGGCGGCUUACUGGACUGUAACUGACGUUGAGGCUCGAAAGCGUGGGGAGCAAACAGGAUUAGAUACCCGUGUAGUC
rnacentral:rRNA from 1 species